AUUGAACGCUGGCGGCAUGCCUUACACAUGCAAGUCGAACGGCAGCACGGGUGCUUGCCCCUGGUGGCGAGUGGCGAACGGGUGAGUAAUACAUCGGAACAUGUCCUGUAGUGGGGGAUAGCCCGGCGAAAGCCGGAUUAAUACCGCAUACGAUCUACGGAUGAAAGCGGGGGACCUUCGGGCCACGCGCUAUCGGGUUGGCCGAUGGCUGAUUAGCUAGUUGGUGGGGUAAAGGCCUACCAAGGCGACGAUCAGUAGCUGGUCUGAGAGGACGACCAGCCACACUGGGACUGAGACACGGCCCAGACUCCUACGGGAGGCAGCAGUGGGGAAUUUUGGACAAUGGGCGAAAGCCUGAUCCAGCAAUGCCGCGUGUGUGAAGAAGGCCUUCGGGUUGUAAAGCACUUUUGUCCGGAAAGAAAUCCUUGGCCCUAAUACGGUCGGGGGAUGACGGUACCGGAAGAAUAAGCACCGGCUAACUACGUG
rnacentral:rRNA from 1 species